UGGCCUACGGGAGGCAGCAGUGGGGAAUAUUGCACAAUGGGGGGAACCCUGAUGCAGCGACGCCGCGUGAGUGAAGAAGUAUUUCGGUAUGUAAAGCUCUAUCAGCAGGGAAGAAGAUGACGGUACCUGACUAAGAAGCCCCGGCUAACUACGUGCCAGCAGCCGCGGUAAUACGUAGGGGGCAAGCGUUAUCCGGAUUUACUGGGUGUAAAGGGAGCGUAGACGGCAGGGCAAGUCUGGAGUGAAAGCCCGGGGCCCAAC
rnacentral:rRNA from 1 species